rnacentral:rRNA from 1 species
CAACAACUGUCUCCGCAAUAAACUCAGUGAAAUUGGAUUAGCCGUGAAGAUACGGUUUGUAUAUAGAUAGACGGAAAGACCCUAUGCAGCUUAACUGUUGUUCUUUAUUGUUUUUUUAAAUUCUCUUCUGUAGUGCUAAAAGGUAGUCGAUGAGAUGUCAGUGAAAAACCUUUGUGGAAAUUUAAAAUAACUAACUUACUUAAUUAAGAACAGUGAAGAUUAGACAGUUUCUGUGGGGCGCAGAUCUCAAAAAUUGUAUCUGAGAUGCCCAAAGGCAUGGUGAAAUUGGAUGGUAACCAAUGAAUGUACAUUUGUAUAUCUAGUGGUCUUCAAUUACUAGAUGAUGUUUUAUUUAAUAAAGUGUAAUGGCAUAACUCAUGCUUAACAGUAAGACUAACAAGUCAAACUGACAUGUAAGUGGGGCAUAAUGACCCUCGUUUACAUUAUGGAUUGGAACGAGAGUAACGAAUAAAAGCUACGCUAGGGAUAACAGGGUUAUUUCGUGUGAGAGAUCGUAUUGACCACGAAGUUUGCCA